AACGAACGCUGGCGGCAUGCCUAACACAUGCAAGUCGAACGAGACCUUCGGGUCUAGUGGCGCACGGGUGCGUAACGCGUGGGAACCUGCCCUUAGGUUCGGAAUAACUCCCCGAAAGGGGUGCUAAUACCGGAUAAUGUCUUCGGACCAAAGAUUUAUCGCCUUUGGAUGGGCCCGCGUUGGAUUAGCUAGUUGGUAGGGUAAAAGCCUACCAAGGCGACGAUCCAUAGCUGGUCUGAGAGGAUGAUCAGCCACACUGGGACUGAGACACGGCCCAGACUCCUACGGGAGGCAGCAGUGGGGAAUAAUGGACAAUGAGCGAAAGCCUGAUCCAGCAAUGCCGCGUGAGUGAUGAAGGCCUUAGGGUUGUAAAGCUCUUUUACCCGGGAUGAUAAUGACAGUACCGGGAGAAUAAGCUCCGGCUAACUCCGUG
rnacentral:rRNA from 1 species